CUUUUCUACUCACUUCUAGAGGAUUUCACAAGCCAAAGUUUGGGUCGCGCUACUGGACUUUUCUACCUAUAUACUCUGUUUUUAGUCUUUGACAAUGUUAUAUAUGUUACAGAGAUGAAAGGAGAACCUUUUAAAGCUAUCUAGAAUGUUAUAUUUCCAUAAAUAAAAAAGAAAAUAACAAUUAUACUACACCCCCUCAUGUUAUUGACGUACAAGUACGUCUAUCGGUGUUAAAGGGUUAA